rnacentral:tRNA from 1 species
GGAACGUUGGUCAAGUGGUUGAGGUUCUCGAUUGUGAAUCGAAGGACUCAGGUUCAAAUCCUAGAUGAUAUACG